GCCAGUGUGGCACAGUGGUUUGAGCACUGGAGUUUGAUUCUGCAGAUCAGGGUUCAAAUCCCCACUCGGCC